AGUGAACGCUGGCGGUAGACCUAACACAUGCAAGUCGAACGGCAGCACAGUAAGAGCUUGCUCUUACGGGUGGCGAGUGGCGGACGGGUGAGGAAUACAUCGGAAUCUACUUUUUCGUGGGGGAUAACGUAGGGAAACUUACGCUAAUACCGCAUACGACCUACGGGUGAAAGCAGGGGAUCUUCGGACCUUGCGCGAUUGAAUGAGCCGAUGUCGGAUUAGCUAGUUGGCGGGGUAAAGGCCCACCAAGGCGACGAUCCGUAGCUGGUCUGAGAGGAUGAUCAGCCACACUGGAACUGGGACACGGUCCAGACUCCUACGGGAGGCAGCAGUGGGGAAUAUUGGACAAUGGGCGCAAGCCUGAUCCAGCCAUACCGCGUGGGUGAAGAAGGCCUUCGGGUUGUAAAGCCCUUUUGUUGGGAAAGAAAAGCAGCAGGUUAAUACCCCGCUGUUCUGACGGUACCCAAAGAAUAAGCACCGGCUAACUUCGU
rnacentral:rRNA from 1 species